ACCUAAGAGAUUAGGCGUUCCCUUCGGGGACGGAAUGACAGGUGGUGCAUGGUUGUCGUCAGCUCGUGUCGUGAGAUGUUGGGUUAAGUCCCGCAACGAGCGCAACCCUUAUUGUCAGUUGCCAGCAUUUAGUUGGGCACUCUGGCGAGACUGCCGGUGACAAACCGGAGGAAGGUGGGGAUGACGUCAAAUCAUCAUGCCCCUUAUGACCUGGGCUACACACGUGCUACAAUGGGUGGUACAACGAGCAGCGAGACCGCGAGGUCAAGCGAAUCUCUAAAAACCAUCCUCAGUUCGGAUUGCAGGCUGCAACUCGCCUGCAUGAAGCUGGAAUCGCUAGUAAUCGCGGAUCAGCACGCCGCGGUGAAUACGUUCCCGGGUCUUGUACACACCGAA
rnacentral:rRNA from 1 species